rnacentral:rRNA from 1 species
UACGGAGGAGGCAAGCGUUAUCCGGAAUUAUUGGGCGUAAAGCGUCCGCAGGUGGCGAUUCAAGUCUGCGGUCAAAGACUGGGGCUUAACCCUGGAAAGGCCGUGGAAACUGAAUAGCUAGAGCGCAGUAGGGGUAGAGGGAAUUCCCGGUGUAGCGGUGAAAUGCGUAGAGCUCGGGAAGAACAUCGGUGGCGAAAGCGCUCUGCUGGACUGCAACUGACACUCAGGGACGAAAGCUAGGGGAGCGAAUGGG